CGCACUCCCACUCCACCAAACCAGUUUAUGAAACUGCAGAACCACAGUAAACUCCUUCCCCUGGCAAGCCAAGGUGGUUGGGCGGGGUUGGGGUGACAAUAUGUUUCCAGGGGCCCCAGGGUUCUCUCUUCCCAAUUACCCUGCUAGAGACAGCCUCUGAUGAUCCAGUCUGGGCAUGUCACCAGGCUGAGAGGGACGGCCCACCCAAGAGAAGCCACAACAGGUCCCCAAAGAAUUUCUGCAGGCUGGGACACCUGAGUGAAAUGAAGAAAUGGGAUUCAACAGAGAGAAAUGUGAAGUCUGCCAGCUAGGGAAUGAAAUGAAAGAACAAAAAGGAAAAUCUUUACCUGUACAGCCCCUUGGAGGAUGGGGUGGGAAGUAAAGGCCUGCCACCCAGUUUCCUGCUGCCUGGAGAAAUCUGGAAGAUCUCCUAGGGCUUUGGAGAAUGAAGGCACCCUUGUCUGGUUGCCACCACAGCCUCCUCUCUCACCCCCACCUCCUCCUCCUCAUCUUCAGCCCACCAAGGCCAGAUUUGUCUUGCAAAGUGGCAUCAUUAUAAACGCAUCAGCCUCCUCUGGACGCCUGUGCCCGCUCCCGCCAGCCCAUCCAGGCUCGAUUACAUCUGAGGCUGUCUGGGCCUCCCUUGCUCUUAGGUUGGUCACAUGACUCACUCCAGCAAAUGGGACGUGAGCAGAAGGUAUAUAUGUUACCUGGAAUAAGGUGAAUAAUUAUCUGGUGUGCUUUUCUACAAUCCUCGUUGCCUGAGUGAUGCCAAGAUAAUUUUGAAGCUGCAAGAUGGUGGAGCCACAAGAAGAAAGGAGCCUGUAUCCCUGAGUCACCACACAGAAGAGAGACAUCCAGAAAAGCUGCCUGACAUGGGUCAUAUGGGUAAGAAAUCAACCUUACUGUGCAAAGCCACUGAGAUGUUGGGGCUACUUAUGAGAGCGGCUAGUGGGAAUUACUCUGACUAAUAUAAGGGGGUUAAACUUGACGGGAUGCAAAUAGGAAAUGGCUUUUUUCCAAUCACUGCUUUUAAACAUGCUCCUAUUAAGCCUCCUUUCCCUGUCUCUUGACAACAUCUUGGACAGAUUCUAAGUUUUGGUUACUGUUGGUUGUUAGAAGAGCCUCAUCUUAGUAAUUAGGAUUCACUUUCAGGGCCAGCCCAGCCUCAGAGAUUUAUGCUCAUAUCCAAUCGAAAACUUCUUCCUUUCCUUCAGCUCAGGUCUGACCCAUGGCUUGGAGAUCAAGAUUGGUCUGUUCUUUUGCCUCACUUCUACUUUCUUGCCCUCCUGCUGCUGGCUCCUUGAGAGUCAGGGCAAGGAGACAGAGGAAUAGUAGAAAAAGGGGUUAAAAGUCU